rnacentral:rRNA from 1 species
UACGUAGGGUGCAAGCGUUAAUCGGAAUUACUGGGCGUAAAGCGUGCGCAGGCGGUUUGUUAAGCCAGAUGUGAAAGCCCCGGGCUCAACCUGGGAACUGCGUUUGGUACUGGCAAGCUAGAGUACGGCAGAGGGGGGUGGAAUUCCACGUGUAGCAGUGAAAUGCGUAGAGAUGUGGAGGAACACCGAUGGCGAAGGCAGCCCCCUGGGCCAAGACUGACGCUCAUGCACGAAAGCGUGGGGAGCAAACAGG